AGUGAACGCUGGCGGUAGGCCUAACACAUGCAAGUCGAACGGCAGCACAGUAAGAGUUUGCCCUUACGGGUGGCGAGUGGCGGACGGGUGAGGAAUACAUCGGAAUCUAAUUUUUCGUGGGGGACAACGUAGGGAAACUUACGCUAAUACCGCAUAUGACCUACGGGUGAAAGCAGGAGUUCUUCGCACCUUGCGCGAUUCAAUGAGCCGAUGUCGGAUUAGCUAGUUGGCGGGGUAAAGGCCCACCAAGGCGACGAUCCGUAGCUGGUCUGAGAGGAUGAUCGGCCACACUGGAACUGAGACACGGUCCAGACUCCUACGGGAGGCAGCAGUGGGGAAUAUUGGGCAAUGGGCGCAAGCCUGAUCCAGCCAUACCGCGUGAGUGAAGAAGGCCUUCGGAUUGUAAAGCCCUUUUGUUAGGGAAGAAAAGCUGCGUAUUAAUCCCCGGCCGUUCUGACGGUACCCAAAGAAUAAGCACCGGCUAACUUCGUG
rnacentral:rRNA from 1 species